AAAAAUAUUUAUUAUCUAAUUAAGUAGUUUUCUUUAUCAAACAUAUACGUUUAAUUUGCUUAGAACUUGAAAAAAGAAUACGAAAUAUAUUGCUCUUCUCGCAUACAAAGUUAUAUAAUUCAAACAUUACAAAAAAUAAAAAAAAAAUUAAAAAAAAUAAAAAAUAUUCUUCUUGAAUGAUAUAAAAGCACAAACAGAAAUUUUAUAAUAAUAAUAUGUAAUAAUUAUUUCUUCUUUUCACCUCUAGCUUUUAACCGAUGUGUCAACGAUCUUGAUUGUGCUGGUCGUACAGUAGAAGGCUACAUGGUCAAAUUCAAUCAGGACUGCACUGGAGACGGAGUGAUCGAUUGCGAUGAUUAUCUGCGUAUUCAUCGAUUGGGCGGAAACGGUUGUACCGGCGCGCUAGACAGAAAAUACGAAAAUAAAUACAAAUUGUGUAUGCAAACUAACGGGGGCCAAUAAUAUAUGCGUCUCAUGUUAGAACUUAA